AGCGAACGCUGGCGGCAGGCUUAACACAUGCAAGUCGAGCGGGCCUUUCGGGGUCAGCGGCGGACGGGUGAGUAACGCGUGGGAACGUGCCCUCUGGUUCGGAAUAACUCAGGGAAACUUGAGCUAAUACCGGAUACGCCCUUUUGGGGAAAGGCUUGCUGCCGGAGGAUCGGCCCGCGUCUGAUUAGCUAGUUGGUGGGGUAACGGCUCACCAAGGCGACGAUCAGUAGCUGGUCUGAGAGGAUGAUCAGCCACACUGGGACUGAGACACGGCCCAGAAUCCUACGGAAGGGAGCAGUGGGGAAUAUUGGACAAUGGGGGCAAGCCUGAUCCAGCCAUGCCGCGUGAGUGAUGAAGGCCUUAGGGUUGUAAAGCUCUUUUAUCCGGGACGAUAAUGACGGUACCGGAGGAAUAAGCCCCGGCUAACUUCGUG
rnacentral:rRNA from 1 species